AAACUGGAGGUCAUCAGAGAGGAAUGAGAGGGACUUUACAGAAUACUCCUGCCAAUCGUAGUUGCCAUGAUGCCAUGAAGUUCACAGACCUUAGCGAAUGGGGAAUUCUAUUAAAGUAAUUCAUAAAUCAGGGUGGGGACUUCUGAAUUGCCUUGCAAUUAUCAAGGAAAAUUCAGCACGAAAGUGAAAAUGCCUGGGCUGUGUGGGCCACUUCUCUGUGUUCUUUUCUGGGCCCCCACUUAUCUGGGGGUACACUUGGAAUUUCCAUUUCUGUGGGUGAGGUGCAUUUCUCUUUGACCCUUAAUUCUUCUUGCUGACAGGCUGAGUGGUAGUGGCUGCGCUCCCAGGCAGAAGAAUCAGAAGACAUGGUUUCACUUCUCUACUACUUUCUUGGCCCAUUAAUUCCUAUGUGACUUUGGCCAGAUCACUGGACCCCUUGAUUACCGUAUUUUAAAAAUGAUCAUCAUGUCUGUAAUAACAGACCAUUUUUUCUUUGCUGGAGUACAAGACAGUAGGAGUCAUGGCUUUAAAUAUUUUCUCAAUCUACAAGCAAAGUUUGACUUAGAAUUUGGACCCAAGGCUUUUUGAAAAAGAAGUCUCCUGGCAGCCUCUGAGGAAGACAGUAAUGAGAAUCUUUUAUGGAAGAACUUAAUCUAGAAGUAUUUAAACUGUGAAAAGAUGACAACAAAGGAAUGGACAGCAAUGGCUGAUCUGAGCUGUGUCUAUGAAUUAAUCAAGUGAACAGGAAAAAGGAUGCUAAGAUAUAUUGUAUGUGCUAUAUAAAUGUAUGUGCACAUGUUUGUUUAUAAAUAGUCUUGCACAUUCAUGCCUAAAAAAGGAUUCAUUCCUUCUGACAUUUUAUUGCAAGAAAUGUGAUUCUCUUAGUAAUUAUUUCUUAUCUUUUUAGACUAGCUGUUUUCUUCUUGAGUUGUUUUUUUUUCUACCAGACUUUGAAUGAACUUAUCCAUUUUCAGUUAAUAAAAUGUGAGCUUGAUGUUAUUAUAAUCUUGCCAGUGGUACAUGUUAUCACCCAAAGAAAACUAUUUGAAAAUCUUACCUACUCAUCUUCCAUCUACCUGGUGCCUGCAUUGUCCUCCAUUAGUCUCUCUUUUGGGUGAAGACUUCAGAAGUUUCUGGUAAAAUGCAAACAUGAAAAUAUAUUUACCCAUUAAUAAUGUAAUUUCAAGGGGUAUCUAGCAGCAGAAGAGUGGGACACAGAUCCAGUGAGUGUGGGACUACAGGCAGCUCAGUAGGUGGGGAUGUGGCCUGCUAGUUCGAGCUGCCCCUUUACCUUGGUGGGGAGGAGCGUUGGUGUAGGGCUCUGGUAUCACCUGGAGGACGGUUCCGACAGGGCAAGGCACUCGGGACAAGAUUCACCCUUCACAGUGUUACUGAGAAAGAUGGUAAACUGGAUAAGCAUGUUUAUUUGAGUUGUGGCUAGAGGAGGUAUGUCAUUUUAAACAAGAGCUUUGGACCCAUGAAAUUCCUUCUCCUUUGCUGAUUAGCUGCAUAACCUAGACAGUUACUUAAAAUUUCUGAAGCUUUUCUGGUUGUACUUAUUUUGCUGGGUUGCAAUGGUGGUUAAAGGGGGUAACCCUUACAAAGUACUUAGUAUAAUC